rnacentral:rRNA from 1 species
CUUGCUCUUAUGAAGUUAGCUGGCGGACGGGUGAGUAACACGUGGGUAACCUGCCCAUAAGACUGGGAUAACUCCGGGAAACCGGGGCUAAUACCGGAUAAUAUUUUGAACUGCAUGGUUCGAAAUUGAAAGGCGGCUUCGGCUGUCACUUAUGGAUGGACCCGCGUCGCAUUAGCUAGUUGGUGAGGUAACGGCUCACCAAGGCAACGAUGCGUAGCCGACCUGAGAGGGUGAUCGGCCACACUGGGACUGAGACACGGCCCAGACUCCUACGGGAGGCAGCAGUAGGGAAUCUUCCGCAAUGGACGAAAGUCUGACGGAGCAACGCCGCGUGAGUGAUGAAGGCUUUCGGGUCGUAAAACUCUGUUGUUAGGGAAGAACAAGUGCUAGUUGAAUAAGCUGGCACCUUGACGGUACCUAACCAAAAAGCCACGGCUAACUACGUGCCAGCAGCCGCGGUAAUACGUAGGUGGCAAGCGUUAUCCGGAAUUAUUGGGCGUAAAGCGCGCGCAGGUGGUUUCUUAAGUCUGAUGUGAAAGCCCACGGCUCACCCGUGGAGGGUCAUUGCAAACUGGGAGACUUGAGUGCAU